rnacentral:lncRNA from 1 species
AUGCCCGAAGCCAUCAGAACAGCUCCAGCCACCGCUCCCCACCCUUCACGAGCACUGCAGCAGCUGCCCCAUCCUUACCCGCAUCCCUCCUGGGGAGGGUGGGGAAACUUUCACCCGGCCCACCUUAAGAAGGCAGCAGCCGGUGUCCCGGGGGGGAGCUCCCACCCACGACUGUGCCAAGAGCCAGGCGGUGCCGGGCUGCGGGGAGCCCCGCCGCUACCGGGGCCGCUCGCGGUGUCAGGGCAACGGAGGCGGCGCUGCGGAGGGGCGGUGCGGAGCGGUGCGGAGCGGAACGGCCCCGGGGCCGCUCGGGGCCCGGCCAGGUCCGUACGAUCCGCACCGCGCUGCGGCGAAACGGGGGGUGAAAAGAGGGGGGUGGGGGAGGGGGGGGGCACGGCAGUCCUUCCUCAUCUGGGGGAUGAGAAGUGCCGUUUCCUUCUCCAUCUGCAAUUCUGCCUGGCUGCUCGGUUGGGUUUUGUUGUUGUUUUUUCCUCUCUGAAGCCGUUCUGUUCUCUGUUCUCCAGGAGGAGCCGGAGAUGGAGCCCCGUCCCCCCGCCUGGCCGCUGCUCUGCCUGCUGCUGCUCUGCCCGCCCUCCUGCCCAGGUGAGCCCGGAGCUCUCUCUGUUUUUGCUGUGUUUUUUUCCCUAUUCCCCCUUCUCCCGUCCUUCCUACUGCUCCUCUCCCCGCUCUCAACCCCGCACCGGCCGCGAUGCGGUGCCGCCGCGCUUUGCUGUGACCUUUCCAGGCGAUGACCUCCAGCGCGGGGCCCGGCUCCAUUGCUCCCAGCCGUUCAUCCAUCCCCCUCCGCAGCCACAUGCGGGAAUUAGGGACGUGAAGAGGCACGUUGCUUCCAACCCUUUGCCAGCACCCAGCCGGCUCCGGGAGAGGCGCAUCGCCCCCGGCAUUGCUGCGGAUGGGAGGAGGGCAGCUCGGCUGGGAGCUCUCUUUAAAACUCAAACCUUGUUUUUGUGGCUGCCCUCCUUCACCCCCCCCCAUCUCGUCCUUGCUCCUCACUGCUCAACAGUUGAGCUCCAGCAAAGUGGGGCUGCACCUUGUGCUGCUCACUUAGGGCAACUCCGGGUCCCCUCGGGUUCCCUGUGGCUCCUCCUGCCCUCCCUCGUGGCUUGUGGCCCCAUCGGUCCCACAGGAGAGUGCUGUGAGAAGGCACGCUCGGUGCUUACCCCGUUGUUUCCCUUCCCCUUAUGGGAGCAGGAAGUUUCUUGGCCCACCAGGAACAAAGCCCUGCGUUGGGUGCUGCUUUCAAGGAUGUUUCAUUUCUAG